GCCAGGCUUACCCAGCAUUAACAGCAGCAGCAGCGGCGGCGGCAGCGGCGUGGGCCCAAGGGCGCCCAUCCUGCGCGGGCGGCUCUGGGAGCAUGGCACAGUGUUUGACUCAGAGGAAGUGCUCAUGCAGUUGCCAAUUGAAGCCACUUUCAGGAACUCGGAGAAACUCUGAGGAAGAAUGUUUGCAGACCUGAAGGCAUGUCAAGGGUGCAGCCCUCACCUCCCAGUACUGCCAGGACUGGCCCAGGAAGAGGGAAGCAAGUGCCUAUUUAUUCCCACUUGGACAUAUCUGCAGCCUGGUUUCUCCAGCCCCGUUUCAUUUAAAUCCAUCCACAGGCAUAUUGUGCUAUGUGAAAACUGAAAAUCAUAGGGAAGCUUUUGGAGGAAACUACUCUCCUUUUAUGCAGGAGUUGAGUGGACUCAAUGCCUUCCUGUUGUUUGAGGGAUGAAAGAUGUUACUGAUCAUCAUCAUAAUAAUAGAUGACAUUUAUGAAAUGCUUACACAAUAAACCCCUUUUGGAUAUUA